rnacentral:tRNA from 1 species
UGGAUAGCUCAGAUGGGUAGAGCAUCAGCUUAGGGAGCUGAGUGUCGCGGGUUCAAAUCCCGCUCCAA